rnacentral:rRNA from 1 species
UAGCUAGUUGGUAGGGUAAGGGCCUACCAAGGCGACGAUCGGUAGCUGGUCUGAGAGGAUGGCCAGCCACACUGGAACUGAGACACGGUCCAGACUCCUACGGGAGGCAGCAGUGGGGAAUAUUGGACAAUGGGGGCAACCCUGAUCCAGCAAUGCCGCGUGUGUGAAGAAGGCCUGAGGGUUGUAAAGCACUUUCAGUGGGGAGGAGAGGACUUAGGUUAAGAGCUAGAGUUCUGGACGUUACCCACAGAAGAAGCACCGGCUAACUCCGUGCCAGCAGCCGCGGUAAUACGGAGGGUGCGAGCGUUAAUCGGAAUUACUGGGCGUAAAGGGUGCGUAGGUGGUUAGAUAAGUUAUCUGUGAAAUCCCUGGGCUCAACCUGGGCAGGUCAGAUGAUACUGUUUAACUCGAGUAUGGGAGAGGGUAGUGGAAUUUCCGGUGUAGCGGUGAAAUGCGUAGAGAUCGGAAGGAACACCAGUGGCGAAGGCGGCUACCUGGCCUAAUACUGACACUGAGGCACGAAAGCGUGGGGAGCAAACAGGAUUAGAUACCCUGGUAGUCCACGCUGUAAACGAUGUCAACUAGCUGUUGGUUAUAUAAAAAUAAUUAGUGGCGC